rnacentral:rRNA from 1 species
UGGGGAAUUUUGGACGAAUUGGGCGAAAGCCUGAAUCCAGCAAUGCCGCGUGUGUGAAGAAGGCCUUCGGGUUGUAAAGCACUUUUGUCCGGAAAGAAAUCCUUGGCUCUAAUACAGUCGGGGGAUACGGUACCGGAAGAAUAAGCACCGGCUAACUACGUGCCAGCAGCCGCGGUAAUACGUAGGGUGCAAGCGUUAAUCGGAAUUACUGGGCGUAAAGCGUGCGCAGGCGGUUUGCUAAGACCGAUGUGAAAAUCCCCGGGCUAACCUGGGAACUGCAUUGGUGACUGGCAGGCUAGAGUAUGGCANAGGGGGGUAGAAUUCCACGUGUAGCAGUGAAAUGCAUAGAGAUGUGGAGGAAUACCGAUGGCGAAGGCAGCCCCCUGGGCCAAGUACUGACGCUCAUGCACGAAA